rnacentral:rRNA from 1 species
GACGAACGCUGGCGGUGUGCUUAACACAUGCAAGUCGAACGGUAAGGCCCUUUCGGGGGUGCACGGGUGGCGCACGGGUGGGUAGCACGUGUAUCACCUGCGCUCCUUUCUGCGUUAACCGUCAGAAACGGUUGCUAGUGCUGCUAAUACGCUUGAUAGGCCUCUUGCGGGUUGGUGGGUGUUUUUUGGUUGGUGAUGGACUGGGGGCUUAUCGGGUUGUUGGUGCGGUAGUGGUUCACCAAGGCUUCGAGGGGUAGCCGGCCGGAGAGGGGGACCGGCCACAUUGGGAAUGAGAUAAGGCCCAAACGCCUACGGGAGGAAGCAGUGGGGAAUAUUGGACAAUGGACGGGAGGCUGAGGCAGCAACGCCGCGUGCGGGAUGACGGCCUUCGGGUUGUAAACCGCUUUCAAUUGUGACGAAGCUUUUUGUGACGGUAGCAGUAGAAGAAGCACCGGCUAACUACGUG